CCAGGCCGGCCGGCCCGCCCCAAGGACCCAACCUGGGCUCUGGACUCGGACCUGGGCCUGCAGCCCCGCUGGCCUCCAGUACACGCGCGCCCUCCCCGCAGCGAGGACUCCAGCCCAGCACACCCACACAGGGCCCUGGAUGUGGCCAUUUCCCUCUCCAGCCCGGCCGGUCACCUUUUACAGUGAGGGGAAUGGCCCGCCGGCCUCUCGAGGGCUGGGAGGACACCCCGGGCUGGCCGCCUGCACCUCCAGACGCUCCCCCUGCCCUCCAGCCCAACCCGCCCCCAGCAUGCACCGCUGGCCGGGUCAAGGCCAGCUGCCACGAGAACUGACCUCAGCCCACCCUCCCAGGCCACUCCAGGAUGCCACAGGCGUCAGGGAGCAGGUCUCGCUGCCUUCCCACCAGACAGUCCUCACUGCUCCUGGGAACUCGCUUUUCCCCAGGCUGCAGUAUUCCCUGAGUGCCCAUGCUGCCUCCAAGAGACACGCAAGGGCCGUGAAGGCACCUGAACUCAGGUGCUGCGCUCAGAAUGCAGGCCGCCUUGGUCAGGAGGUCCUGUCACCCAGCCUUUACAGCAGGACUCUCCCCUGCAGUGGGGUCUACACCACGCUGGCAAGUCUGCUCACAAGCUGCAAGGCUCUCUGCCUGCUGAGACCUCCAGGGUGUGAACCCCACCCUCGCCCCUAGAAGGGUGCUCUGCCCCAGAAACAGCCUUUCCUCCAGGACCUAGGGGAACGGGCACGCAGUGAAGGCAGUGCGGUCAACCCAGCAAGCUAGCGAAUACCCCGUGAUGCUCAUUACUUUGUCAACAAAGCUCCGUCUAGUCAAAGCUAUGGUUUCUCCAGUAGUCAUGUAUGGACGUGAGAGCUGGACCACAAAGGCGGCUUGAGUGACAAAGAAUCAAUGCUUUUGAACUGUGGUGCUGGAGGAGACUCUCGAGAGUCCCAUGGACUCCAAGGAGAUCCAACUGGUCAAUCCUAAAGGAAAUCAAACCUGAAUAUUCAUUGGAAGGACUGAUGCUGAGGCUCCAAUACUUUGGCCACCUGAUGGGAAGAACUGACUCACUGGAAAAGACCCUGAUGCUGGGAAAGACUGAAGGCAGAAGGAGAAGGGGAUGACGGGAUGAGACGGUUGCAUGGCAUCACCGACUCAAAGGACAUGAGUUUGAGCAAGCUCCGGGAGUUGAUGAUGGACAGGGAAGCCUGGUGUGCUGCAGUCCAUGGGGUCGCAAAUAGCGGGACACGACCGAACAACAAAUGUUCAGGGCCAUCCCGUGGCAGUGCUUUAAAACUCAGAGAUUCAAGAAAGGUUAGACUUCAAAUCAGACGCUAGAAGAGGGACACGGAGGUCUGAGAAAAAUCACUGCAGCUCCUGCCACCAACAGUGAAAGAACUAGACCCUGAACACGUGCCCUGGAGUCCGGAGUGGGCCCUGUGCCCUCAGGCAAGGCGAGGGAAGGCCCCGUACCUUUAAAGCCACAACAAACCUUCUGCCCGAGCGCCUUACUGUCUCAAAACACAGAAAACCACCUCAUCACCUGGUCCAGAAAACACAGUUUGAGAGAGAGCCAAGAGAUCUUUGAGUCCCAAUCUGAACAUUCUCAACUCUAGAGGACAUUUUAUUUUUAAAAAAUGAAAAGCAAGUGACCUAAUCCUCAUUAUCACUUACCUGCCAACUCACAGGUGAAAAGUCACACCUUUACAUUUUAAAAGCAGAGUAGUCUUAAGGGCAAAAAGAGACUGGUAAAAUUGAGUGGCUACAGGCAAAGGGAGAGAGAGAAACCGCAGGAGAAAUUUCUCUAACGCGAUAUUCUUCAGAUUUGAGUGUGGUCUUUGUGAACUGCUUCAGACACACUGCGAAGCUGAUGUCCUAGUGAUCGAGAGCGCCAGACUCACCUGGCAGGGAGCAGCAGUUCCGGUGCCACUUACUGUUACACUUUCUUUAAAAUGUAUACAGAAAAGAUACAUUUUAAACACAUUAGAAGUAUUGUCUAUGGAACAGAAUGAGGAUGGGAUAAAAAGAGUAACUACAGACAAACAAGACUUACAUUAAACAGUGACUAGUUUACCAGGAACUCAGAAGUAUGAUCAACCUAAUCCUCUUCAACUAACAUUUUUUAACAGAUACUUUUUUUUAACUUUAUUUUUUGGCCACAUGGCGGUGCGGGAGCUUAGCUCCCCAACCAGGGAUCAAACCUGAGCCCUCUGCAUUGGGAGUGCCACGCCUUGAGCACUGGACCACCAGGGAGGUCCCUCAAUUUACAUUUUUUUAAAAAUUCACAAGAAUUCACCAGUCAAGCUGUUAGCAACCAUCUGCCUUGCUGAGUUGGCAAAUACAGAUUACUUGCAGGUAGCAUUUGUGGUGCAGAAACUGUUCAAAGUGCAAAAACUCACACUGAACUUAGGAUGAACUUAUACUUAAAUAAGCACAGCCAAGCCCAGUCCUCCCCGCCACCCCUGCAAAGCAACGCCACGCUGAAGGCUUGUGAUGCCCUCCUGCUCGAUGCUGCCGACCAUCCCCCAUCACUCCACGAGCAACUCUUGAGAUCUGAGCCCUGCUGAUUCUAAGCCGCACAUCAUAAACGGCUUUUAAAGCCUGUUCUGUGCCAGCCACCGUUCUUUGUGGUGAGAAUACGCAGAAUCCAGCAGAACAGACAGCCUUCCCUGCCCUCGUGGGUAGAAAAGCUGAAUGAAGCGCACAGAACGUCAGAUGUGGAUUCAAAUACAAAGCAGGGUGGGUGGCAAGGACCGCCAGUCUGGGUGUGUGAACAGGACGGUCAGGGAGAACGCGUGACUGAAAAGCGACACUUCCACAAAGCCCCGAGGAGGAAGCCCCAGACAGAGCACACAGCGGGCUCGCAGCUCGGAGGCAGAGGUGACCCAGCGCGUCCACUGACGGGCCAGGAGGCCACUGCGCUUGAAGCCGUAACAGCCAAAGGGAGAACCCGUGAGGGUGUCUGCGGGGACCGGGGCCCAGCGCACGGGACCCUACAGGCUACCGCAAGGCCUGCGGGUUUCCUUCUGCAUGAGGUGGAAGACUAGUGAAGGGGCUGAGCAGGGCAAGGGCCCGUCCCCUGUGCUGAGCUCUUGCAGGGGAACGCAGGCCUCACCGGGGCGGCCACUGAACCCACCAGGCAGGUCGGCACGGGACUGCAGCAGAGGGGGCAGCCCAAAGUAGAGCGAAUGUGGACGCACCUCACGGGAAAUGCGACGGGUGGGUCUGUGGGGCAACUCCACGGGUGGAGCUGUGGGACCUUUGGCUUGGACCUGAACUCAAGUCACCAGACAUCCAGGUGGAUGCGUGAAUCAAUUUCAAGUUCAGAGGAGGGUUUGGGGCUGGCGACAGUU
rnacentral:lncRNA from 1 species